UUACUAACACACAAUAACCACAACAUUUACUAUGGGUUUACCAUAGUAACCAUAGUUUUACUCUGGUAUUUGUAUUUACUAACACACAAUAACCACGACAUUUACUAUGGGUUUACCAUAGUAACCAUAGUUUUACUCUGGUAUUUGUAGUUACUAACACACAAUAACCACGACAUUUACUAUGGGUUUACCAUAGUAACCAUAGUUUUACUCUGGUAUUUGUAUUUACUAACACACAAUAACCACAACACUUACCAGGAUUUUACCACAGUAACUGUUUUUACUCUACACUAUUUGUAAAGCACAGUAACCACUAAGUUUGCCAUGCCUUUAAUAUCUUUUUGUGAUGUAAUUGUAAUUCAGUGUUUUUUCUGUCUUGCAGUUACGUCGGAUUACAUACUCCACAACAACCUGUAAUCCAGCAGAUCUUUAAAGAAGCCAUCUCUUGUAAAAUCUCUCUCUCUCUCUCUCUCUCUCUCGCUCUGCUAGAAUUAACAGGGAACUUCAACUCCACGCUCCCAAUGCUGAUAUUGAAGAAGCUGUCAAGGGGGCUGAACAAGUCCUUCAAAGGAUCAACCCUUCACAGGAAGGCCUGUCAUGAGAUUUGAAUUUGACCAUCUUGUGCAUUUAUGAAGAAGACCAAAAGCUGCAAAGGCAAACACUUCCAAUGGAUUUCUCACAGAUUACUUAAUCAUUCUUCAUCAGCUCUUCACAAUAUCAGCCCAUUCAAAAGCUUCCAGAUCUUCCUCUCUUGUGUGACACAUCUGCUCUCAGUCCUUUACUGCCAACCUCCAGUCUUAGCAUUUCUGCUUGUAUUCAUUUUUCCUCUACAUUCAUCACUCCAAUCUCUACUAUAAGCACUCCUGUAUAUAUAUAUAUAUAUAUAUAUACACACAUAAUAAUAAUUAUUAUUAUUAACCAUUUAUUUGUUUUGCAUUUAUUCACAAUAGAAGCAAACAAUGAUUACAGGAUAUAUGUUUUUAAAGGUGAUAAUUGUAAAAUAUUGGAGCAUUGUUCUUAAUCAUUUUUGCCUAUUUGGUUGAUAAAGGGAAGAAAACAAUAUAUUUUCAACUGUAGCCUUGAUUAUUCUUUGGCAUCUUUUGUCAGGAUUUCUGUAAACAAAUUCCCUUUUUAUUUUUGAAUAUUAAACUUAUGUUUUUUGAAGGGAGUUUCUGUUGCAAUUUUGUUUGUUUGUUUUCACUUAGUUACCUCUAUGCAUUUUUUUUUUAAUCAACUUUUCUUUUUUUUUCAUAGUGGAAUAAACUGGAGAGAGACUGUUCUGGGCACUAUGUUUAUCUGCGAAAAGUUUGACAUAUCAAUAAACACUGUAAAAUGAC